UACGUAGGCAGCAAGCGUUGUUCGGAAUUACUGGGCGUAAAGAGUGUGUAGGCGGUGUUCCAAGUCUGGUGUGAAGUCUCCCGGCUUAACUGGGAGGGUGCAUUAGAAACUGGAAUGCUAGAGGAUGGGAGAGGUAAGCGGAAUUCCUGGUGUAGCGGUGAAAUGCGUAGAUAUCAGGAGGAACACCUGUGGUGUAGACAGCUUACUGGACCAUUUCUGACGCUGAGACACGAAAGCGUGGGUAGCAAACAGG
rnacentral:rRNA from 1 species